CAAUAGCGUAUAUUAAAGUUGUUGCGGUUAAAAAGCUCGUAGUUGGAUUUCUGUUGGGAACGACCGGUCCGCCCAUUGGGUGUGUAUCUGGCUUGUUCUCGGCAUCUUCUUGGUGAACGUUGCUGCACUUGACUGUGUGGAGCGCUACCCAGGACUUUUACUUUGAGGAAAUUAGAGUGUUUCAAGCAGGCAUAUGCCUUGAAUACAUUAGCAUGGAAUAAUAAGAUAGGACCUCGGUUCUAUUUUGUUGGUUUCUAGAGCUGAGGUAAUGAUUAAUAGGGAUAGUUGGGGGCAUUCGUAUUUAACUGUCAGAGGUGAAAUUCUUGGAUUUGUUAAAGACGGACUACUGCGAAGCAUUUGCCAAGGAUGUUUUCAUUGA
rnacentral:rRNA from 1 species